AGAACGAAGGCAGGUCUCCACAAUAUGAGUAACACAAGUACACACAGUCACACUGACGCAUGUGAGCACCUGUGGUGAUUUUCCAGGUGCCAGGCCUGUUUGAUUAAGACUUAAGUCAGAACUCUGACGCCGUUGCUGCCUGAAGGCGUUUUUUUGACGACAUACCGUUUUUUGACGACUCGCAAUCGUAGACGCAGACAAAUCUAAACAAGUCUAAACUGUUCAAUGUAAAGGUAAAGUAUGUGAUGUUCUAAUGUCUUUAUUGCUGCGCUUCUGUGCUCUAACCUUUUAGUGUUUUCAUGUUUUGCAGGUGACUUCCUGUUUGGAUGCUGCUUUCAGGCUUUCAGGAGUUACUCUGCACCAUGUGAUGGGACUAUUUCUCUGUUCAUCGGUGAGGAGGAGGUUAUCAGAAACAUCAGGCAUGUUCAUGUCUGCAUGGAUAAAGCACAGCAAGGAAGAGUCAGAGGAGGAGGAGAAGGCAACAAUGAGUAAGUUACAGUAUAUUAUUGCCUGGUAUUAUACAGUUACAUAAUGUGCUUGGACAGACAGACUGUCUGCUUUCA